GUCCCUUCUCCAGGGGAUCUUCCUGACGCAGGGAUGGAACCGGGAUCUGCACUGCAGGCGGAUUCUUUACCAGCCGAGCCGCAGGGAAGCCUGGCUGACCGUGGCCUCCGCUCUCAGCAGCACUGGGCAUCCAGCUGGGCACACUCGGGAGGUGCCCUGUGCAUGGCUGGCCUUCACCCGAGGAGCCCUCUGGCAGGGUGGUCACUUCUGAGCUGGAGGGAGCAGAAUGCAUUGGCGUGGGUGAGCCGGUGAAUGGCGGGGCCCCCAAAACACUCUCCUUGAGCCACAAAGACCAGAAGCCAGGCCAACGUAGGGCUGAUAUUUCAGCCCGGGGAGAGGUAAUGACGGAAUGGAGCCACCAGUGCUCCCCAGAGAUGGCCUCACCCAGGAUGCCGACACAGGGACGAGACUCACAAGGCCUGCCUCUCAAGGGCUGCCUGGCGGGGGUGUGGCUCGAGAGAAGGCCUGAGCGAGGGCCUGCCGCUCUGAGCACCCCGCAGCCCCUCUCACCGCUCUCUGCUCACCGGCAGCUAAGCCUUAGCCCAGAGAAGACUGGGCUGGGUAAUCCAUCCUGCACCGGGAGCACUUCCCCUGAGAACCCUGGAGAAGGAAAUGGCAGCCCACUCCGAUACUCUUGCCUGGAAAAUUCCUUGGACGGAGACGCCUAGGAGGCUACAGUCCAUGGGGUUGCAAAGAGCUGGACACGACUGAGCAACUUCACUUCACUUCCCUGAGAACACCAAAGCCACCAACAAGCGGACUGUUUCCCCUGGAAGCCCCAUCCCAGGGAAGGAGGUUUGUCAUCCUUCAUAAAGAAAAGGUGCUGAAGUGCCUUGUUCCCUAGGGAGACAGGCCUCCAAGAGGGGACUUCCUCGCAUGCCUGGACUUGUCACUGAGGCAGCAUCUCCAGAGGAUGGGCAUCGGGCUCCACAGGAAUGAUGAGGAGAUUGAAUCAGGAGGAAAAAUCCAAUCAGACAGAAAGACCUCUGACUCAGAGUCUGCUCUGUGAGCUGGCCACCAGUUCCAGCCCCUGGCUGCUCCCUGAGGCGGGGCCUAGACAAUUCAGCAGGCUACCUUCUGACGAUUCAGUAAGUCCAUGCUAAGCUCCUGCUGCAUACGAGACUUUGUGCGGGUCUCAGAGGUUGGAGGGGAUCAGGGGAGGGCCAGACAUCUCCCACUUGACCACCGACCG